rnacentral:rRNA from 1 species
CCUACGGGAGGCAGCAGUGGGGAAUUUUGGACAAUGGGCGCAAGCCUGAUCCAGCAAUGCCGCGUGCAGGAUGAAGGCCUUCGGGUUGUAAACUGCUUUUGUACGGAACGAAACGGUGAGCUCUAAUACAGUUUGCUAAUGACGGUACCGUAAGAAUAAGCACCGGCUAACUACGUGCCAGCAGCCGCGGUAAUACGUAGGGUGCGAGCGUUAAUCGGAAUUACUGGGCGUAAAGCGUGCGCAGGCGGUGAUGUAAGACAGAUGUGAAAUGCCCGGGCUCAACCUGGGACCUGCAUUUGUGACUGCAUCGCUAGAGUACGGUAGAGGGGGGAUGGAAUUCCGCGUGUAGCAGUGAAAUGCGUAGAUAUGCGGAGGAACACCGAUGGCGAAGGCAAUCCCCUGGACCUGUACUGACGCUCAUGCACGAAAGCGUGGGGAGCAAACAGGAUUAGAUACCCUGGUAGUCCACGCCCUAAACGAUGUCAACUGGUUGUUGGGUCUUCACUGACUCAGUAACGAAGCUAACGCGUGAAGUUGACCGCCUUGGGGAGUUACGGGCCGGCGAAGGUUGAAACGUCAAAGGGAAUUGACGG